rnacentral:rRNA from 1 species
UACGAAGGGGGCUAGCGUUGCUCGGAAUCACUGGGCGUAAAGCGCACGUAGGCGGACUCUUAAGUCAGGGGUGAAAUCCUGGAGCUCAACUCCAGAACUGCCUUUGAUACUGGGAGUCUUGAGUUCGGGAGAGGUGAGUGGAACUGCGAGUGUAGAGGUGAAAUUCGUAGAUAUUCGCAAGAACACCAGUGGCGAAGGCGGCUCACUGGACCAACACUGACGCUGAGUGAGCGAAAGCCAGGGGAGCAAACGGGG